ACAGAACAGAGGGUUUAAAGGAUUUCGUGGUGGCUUUGGGCAAGGUAUUCAAGAAGGAAAUGGAGAAGAUGCCCUUCCACAAAACAGAGGGUUUAAAGGAUUUCGUGGUGGCUCUGGACAAGGUGAGGGUUUUCAAGAACGAAAAGCUGUAGAUGGUGCUAGUACACAGAACAGAGGGUUUAAAGGAUUUCGUGGUGGCUUUGGACAAGGU